UAAAGACUGCAUCCGAAUGAAA
rnacentral:siRNA from 1 species